rnacentral:lncRNA from 1 species
GGGGGGCUUCUGAGGGGCUCCCUUUAGCCCCCUCAAGCUGGGACCCCGGCCUGCUCGCGCCGCCCCGCGGUUCUUCGCGGUCCAGCUCCAGGCGGCCGCCUCCCGCGACCCCGCCGAGGCGCGGGUUUCAUGAACACGCUCAGGCGGGCGCGGAAGCACCUGCGGGGGGCGCGGGAGGAGCCGCCACAGCGGAGCCCCGAAGCGCCCCUCCCGCCCACACCCGGCUCUCAGCCUGGAGUUUCCUCCCCGCCUUGCGGAAAGUCUCUUAAAUAAUUUAUUCGGACGUUAUCAGAAACCGACUCCGGGCGCAGUGGGAAGCGCGUAAAUUCCUGAGACACGAGAACCACAGUGUUAAUGAAACAGCUGGGCUGGGAGAAGGUGGGGCGCAGGACACAUCUGUCCGAAGGGUGCCCUGGGUAAUCAGACAGCGACCUGAGACCAGAAAGGUGAGUCUGACCCUGCAAGGGACAGACCUUCAUUCUUCAGUGGGGCCCAGGACAAGGCUGCUCCAGGAGGCCUGGUCUCAAGGUGCCAGCUCUGUAUUCGUGUCACAUGGCCAAAUGGGCUCCUGAGGAUCACUUGUCUGCCUUGAGCCUCCUCCUCCAUCACCAUCGUCCGCGCGAGAUCACCCCCCCAGGAAGCCCUGCAGCUCCCUUCUGUUCUCUUUCCAGGCCCUUGUCACCCAGGCCUCGGAGCGCCAUUAUCAGCGAGAAGCUAGGUGUCACCUCGAGGUGGGGCCCUCCUCUGUGACUACCAGUGUCUCCCCGCCUCCGCCAUGCGUGUCAAGUGAGGCAGAUCCACUGGCCUGAGGCGUCUGUCUGUCCCUCUCCUCCUGUAGCCAAGCUGGGCGAGGAGCAGGUUCUCAGGAGUCCUGCCUGCAAUAUUAAUGUGGCGAACCAGAGGCCGGGGCUUCAAUAAUGAAGGAGGGCUUCGCCCGAAGAAACAUGAGCCUUUCUGGCUGAGAACAGGACAAAGACACGACGGGAAUGAGCCUGAGAUGAGCACCCCCCGCCCAGGCACACUCGGAACCCAUGUCCUGCAGACAUCAACACGGCAUCAGGACAGAGUCUGGGGUAGACAAGCGAUUCAUGGUUCUCGCUGCAAAGAAACUUUUGACCAAAGGUGCUGGAAGACACGGUCCCCCAACAUUCAUGGCAGGUUGUGUUCAAGGGGAUGAUUACAGUUCUGGCAAUGCACCGAGCAUUGCUGUAGGCGUUGAGAUCCGUGGAUAAGACAGAAGAUCCCUGCCUCUGCCUGGCCUAAGCAGGGCAACAGAGAACAACGGACACAAUGCAUAAGUCAGGUAAGGAGCUGGGGCAGGGGAGGAAAGGAGAGCCGUGAAGGAGACGGGGUGUGUGCAUUCCGUAUUAAGGAGGGUGGUGGCGGUUCCAGGCAGAGGGAACAGCCAGGGCCAGGAGAGUGCACCCGGAGGACACUGGGAACAGACAGGAGGCCAGCGAGUGGGAGCAGAGGGAGCAAAGGGCAGGCAGAGAGGGGCCAGGGCCAGGUGAGGCGGGGCCUGGGGACCACAGUAAAAACUGGUUGUUUGUUGAAUGAGC